UUUACAAACAUCUUCUCAUUUGAUCCUCACAACAACCCUGAGAGGAAGUACAAGAUAACCAAAAUUGACAGAUUUGGACACUCCCCUGUUUUGAAUCUAUUUCGCUUAACUGGUUUUUCAGGAGUAGUACCCAUUAAUUUACAGGAUGGAGAUUUCCUCUCAUCAGUCUCACCUGUUGCAACAACUUAAUGAGCAACGCAGGCAAGAUGUGUUUUGUGACUGCAGUAUUCUAGUUGAAGGGAAGGUCUUCAAAGCACAUAGAAAUGUGCUAUUUGCAAGUAGUGGCUACUUUAAAAUGCUUCUUUCUCAGAGCUCAAAGGAGACUAGUCAGCCAACCACAGCUACAUUUCAAGCAUUCUCACCUGAUACUUUUACUGUUAUUCUGGACUUUGUAUAUUCAGGCAGACUUUCUCUCACUGGUCAAAAUGUCAUAGAAGUGAUGUCAGCUGCUAGUUUCCUUCAGAUGACUGAUGUCAUUAGUGUAUGUAAGACCUUCAUUAAGUCUUCACUUGAUAUAAGUGAGAAAGAGAAGGAUCGCUAUUUCAGUCUCUCAGAUAAAGAUGCCAAUUCCAAUGGUGUAGCAGAACGUUCUUCUUCUUAUAAUGCUGGGUGGUGUGGAGAAAGCAGCCCUCCACAAUCUCAUGUAAGUCCAGAUCAAGGAACAUGUACCAUGAGUGGAAAAUCUUGGAGUAAUUACAACUACUAUCCAGCUUCCCAAAGGAGCACUCAGCAGCCCCCACCGAAACAUGAACAAAGACAAGAUUCUGUUAAAAAGUCCAGGCAUUUGGGGUUACCACAGUCUACAGAUGUUCCUCAUUACAAGUCAAGCAAACUUGAAGAGCGUACUUCUGAGCCUAAUCGCACUCCUCCAUCUGAAGAAAAGGUACAAACUGAUGCUGGAAUUGACUCCCCUCGUGUGGGGCAUAAGUAUGGCAAAGGAUCUGAUGUUACACCCAGAAGCCUACCAGGUUCUCAACAAGAACAAGAAUCCUCUCGAUCUACAUCCAAGUCACCUAAGACUGAUGAAUCCUAUUCCAAUAUGCCUUUAAUUUUAGGUGUUAUGGGCAGCUGGAAUGAAGAUGAACUGCCUAGAAUGAGAUUCAAAUGCCCGUUCUGCACACAUGUGGUGAAACGGAAAGCAGAUCUAAAGCGCCACCUUCGCUGCCAUACGGGAGAACGGCCUUACCCUUGUGAGGCCUGUGGGAAAAGAUUCAGCAGGCUAGACCAUCUAAGUAGCCAUUUUCGAACAAUUCACCAGGCAUGCAAGCUAAUCUGCCGAAAAUGCAAGCGUCAUGUGACUGAUCUAACUGGACAAGUGGUACAGGAGGGAACAAGGCGCUACAGACUGUGCAAUGAGUGCCUUGCUGAAGCUGGCAUAGACAGCAUCCCCAUUGAUUUGGGAGCUGAACAACCACUUGCAUCCCCUUCAGAUGGAGAUAAGAAGUCAAAAUGGCAACUGAGUGAAGGACAAAAAAAAUCUUAUGUGGAGAUUGUAGAGGAUGGGUCUGCUGAUCUGGUCAUACAACAGGUUGAUGAUAGUGAAGAUGAAGAAGAAGAAAAGGAAAUAAAGCCCAACAUUAGGUAGUUGUGAAACAACUGACCUAGCAUGUCUUAUAUUUGAAUUCUUAUAUUUCUCUCUUCCCCUGACAAGAGUCUGGUUAACACAUCUAUCAUAUUGGCUUUUUUUAAAUGACCUGAUCUAAUUUGCAUGCAUUUAUGGACAAACCAUUAAGUUCACAUUCUGAACUAUGUUGCUCUGGGGUACCAGUAUGUUGCUGCACUGGAAAAGAGGACAUAGCUUGAGUUGGCAUGACGGAUGAACAACUGAUCUCUGAACUAUAAUAUAGUAAUACUUUUUAUAUAUUAGAAGAUCAACUUGAGAAAUUUUUCAGUGAUAAACAUUUAAGAUAAAUUAACUAUAGCCAAACAUGAAACUUUAUAAAACUUUCCAGAUGCUUUUUUAAAAAAUAGAUAAGCUAUCACAUAUUGCAUAUUCCUGGGGAAAAAAAAGGAAACUGAUUUAAUUUGGAGUGAAGAUUACAGUAGUAGACAUUUUGUUCCAAUCAACUUCUGAACUCUGUCACAACUGUCAAUGGAAGAGUGUUAACUGAUGAGCUUGGAUCCUUGCAGAAACAAUGUGGAACAUAAAUUCUCCAUUUAAAUGCAGUUCUGCCUGGAGGCAGCAAAAUGAACUAAAUAACUUCUUGAAUUCUCUGAAUUCUAUCAUCUUAAGGUCUCCUACCCUACAUCAUUUAAUUGUUUAUGUAAGCAAAUGAACAUAUAACAAAGAGGCUGGCUUUUGGAAUAGCAAGUAAUAUUCUUAAUCUACUCAGCUUUUCCUAUAUAUGGCUAAGUUAGCUCUGAAGUUUUCAACGAAGGUCAAAACUUAAAUAUAGUGUUUAGCAACGUUAGCUCUGAGCAAUUAAAUUAAGUCACUUAACCUGAGUCUCCUUUUCCUCAUCUAUAAAGUGGAGGUAGUAUGAUACAGUGGUAAGAGCACAGCAUUUAGAGUCAGAGGACCUCAGUUUAAAUUUGUCAUUGCCACUUACUAUGUGCAUGACAUUGGGCAAGUCACUUCACCUCUCUAGGCCUCAAGUUUUCUCAUCUGUCAGAUGAAAGGGUUGGAGUAUAUGACCUCUACGGUUCCUUCCAGAUUUAAAUCUAUGCUCCUGUGAUAAAGUAUAGGGAUGGCUUUAAUAUAAACCAGUUAGAGUUUGAUGACUCAGUUCCACAAAGAUUUAUUAUCUACUACAUACAAGGCACCAAUGCUUACUGCUCUCAAGGAGGUGACAUUCUACUGACAACUUAAGUUGUCAGAUGGUUGUUAGUUAAGUAUUAAAUUCAUUAAAAAUUAUUUUUAUAAUCCAUGUGGCCUGAUGAAUAUCCCUUCCACUUAUAUUUUCAGCUUUUAUAUUUUUUUGGCUAUAAAACAUUAAGAAACAGUAUAUUAAAAGUUUAAUUGGUAUAUUGUGUGACACCAUUUCCAGAGCUUUCUUGACAUUCAACUAUACAUGAAACCUCAAAUUAUAAGCAAAAAAAUAUAUAUUACAUUUUGUUAAGAUUUACUAGUAUUCGUAUUUAGCCUUUAUACUGCAUUUUAUACUUGCAAAGUGCUGUAAUAAUUAUUAUCCUUCAUAUAUCGAUGAAAUAGGGCAGUUAUUUCACUUUAAAGAUAAGGACUCUGAGGCACAAGACAUUUAACCUAUAAGUAGCCAAUCAGUGACAGUAAUAGAAACUAAAACCAUCAGAUUUCUUGGAAUUCUAGAGUAUUAUGUACUACUUAGCUCAUUAAACUGUAAUGUUUAUCACUAGUUUUAUAAGGUAACUUUUUACAAAUAACAUUCACCUGUUUUAAAGCAUUGUAUGGAUAUACCAUAUACAAAAUAAAUAUUGUUCAUAUAAAGCAGACUACUUUUAACUACAAGAGUUUUAAAUAACAUGGAAUUUAGGUUUUCACAAAAAUGGCAUUAAAAGUACAUUAAGACAUUUUGUAUGUUGUUAAAUGUAAUUCCUAUUAUAUCCAACUUUUUGUUUUGUUGUUCAAUCUUAAUUGAAUUUUCGUGCUAAUGAGAAUAGAACAGGAUGGGAAAAGAAAUUAGUGAGAAUCCUCAAAUCUCAUUUUAGACAUGUUAACAUUCCCCCCUUCCCAUAAACUUUUAAAUCAGAUUUGUUGGCAAGUAAUCAAAAUGGUACACUUACAUGUCAUUUCUUUUCCUUCUGUGGUGCAUCCUCUAAGAAAAAAUGCUAAGCAAAUUAAGCUUUAAAACAACUACUUUCUUAUUCCUUUUUAUUUGCUUUUCAGUUCUUUGUUCAUAUUUUUGUUCAGUUGUAGAGCAUUUGUGAAAUAGCACAUAUUCAUCUGUUCUUAGGACAGUGGUUUUGCAUACUUAUCAAGAGAGUGAGGAAGGCACCCCUUAAGUGGAUAACUGUGGUAAACUUAGGGAAAGAUAUGGACAAGAGUUGCACAGGAUGGCUUUGUAAGAGUAGGGUUAUGAUCUACAUAUUUGAAGAGAAUAACCAUAUUGAUGACAUUACAGAUCCAUUUAGGUAUGACCCCAAAAACUGAACCAUGAACCUAAUGGACAGGUGUGCACACACACACACACACACACACACACACACACACACACACACGCACGCACACACAAAGCCACUCUUCUGGGAAACAACUGAGAAUUUACCACUUAGCUUUUACAUGACAUUUCAGUUUGAGGGAGGCAAUUUGAUUUAUAUUUACCCCCUAAGAAUGAUUCCCUUUUAAUCUGAGAAGGAAGAAUUUGAGAUUUAUUUAUUCUUAGAAGGGAGUUUUAUGUCUGUUUAUCUGAAUUGGUCUAUGUUUUUUUGUUGGUUAAGAAGUCAGCUCCAGGAGGCUACAACUAGUUGACGGCCAAUCCUGUUUUCAAAAUGCUGAUUUCAAAAUACUGUUUAAAACUACAAACUACUAUUAUUUUAAAGAGAUGCUAUAAAUUUAUGCCCAAAAUAAAAGUUAUUUAUCAUC